AGAACGAACGCUGGCGGCAGGCUUAACACAUGCAAGUCGAACGGUUGUAGCAAUACAGCAGUGGCGCACGGGUGAGUAACGCGUGGGAACGUGCCUUUCAGUACGGGAUAACGUCGGGAAACUGACGCUAAUACCGUAUAUUCCCUCCGGGGGAAAGAUUUAUCGCUGAAAGAUCGGCCCGCGUAAGAUUAGGUAGUUGGUGGGGUAAUGGCCUACCAAGCCUACGAUCUUUAGCUGGUCUGAGAGGAUGAUCAGCCACACUGGAACUGAGACACGGUCCAGACUCCUACGGGAGGCAGCAGUGGGGAAUAUUGGACAAUGGGCGAAAGCCUGAUCCAGCCAUGCCGCGUGUGUGAUGAAGGCCUUAGGGUUGUAAAGCACUUUUGUCAGGGAAGAUAAUGACGGUACCUGAAGAAUAAGCACCGGCUAACUUCGUGCCAGCAGCCGC
rnacentral:rRNA from 1 species